UCCCCAGCAGUGCAGCUCGCAGCUCCAGC
rnacentral:sRNA from 1 species